rnacentral:rRNA from 1 species
GACGAACGCUGGCGGCGUGCUUAACACAUGCAAGUCGAACGGUAAGGCCCUUCGGGGUACACGAGUGGCGAACGGGUGAGUAACACGUGGGUGAUCUGCCCUGCACUUCGGGAUAAGCCUGGGAAACUGGGUCCAAUACCGGAGAGGACCACCGCCUGCAGGGGGGGUGGCGGAAGGCUUUUGCGGUGUGGGAUGGGGCCGCGGCCUAUCAGCUUGUUGGUGGGGUGAUGGCCUCCCAAGGCGACGACGGGUAGCCGGCCUGAGAGGGUGACCGGCCACACUGGGACUGGGAUACGGCCCAGACUCCUACGGGAGGCAGCGGUGGGGAAUAUUGCACAAUGGGCGCAAGCCUGAUGCAGCGACGCCGCGUGAGGGAUGACGGCCUUCGGGUUGUAAACCUCUUUCAGCACCGACGAAGCGCAAGUGACGGUAGGUGCAGAAGAAGGACCGGCCAACUACGUGCCAGCCGCCGCCGUAA